rnacentral:misc_RNA from 1 species
CUGCAAAAGCAGAUAUUCCGACAUUUACAAUUUUGAUUGACGGAAGAUAUUGAGACCAAUGUCUUGCUGCAACCUUUUCAUCGUGAUCUGCGUGCUGGCCGCCUUCGGGGGCGGCAUGGGAGACGUGCAAGAGCACGUCUCCUUCAUGGAGAAGUAUGGUGCCCCCGUGGAGGGGGGCACAGGGGAGAUGGAGGUGGGUUCCGAGGGGGAACCCAUCUUGAUGGACUAUUUCAUGCAUGACGAAACGACCACUGAUAUGGAUGAUUCGAACGAAGUUACCUCAGACAAGACCAUGAGUGAUGAGAAUGUAACUAUUGUUGAAACAAAGGAACCGUUGAAUACAACCUCGGUAAAAGGCAUUGAAGGCAAAAAUGAAACAGUUCUGGAAACUACGAAAGAAGAGAACAUAACAUUAGAGAAAGCAAUUGAUAACAAGAACGGAACCAUUGUUGAAACUAAGGAAGAGAACAGAACUGUGGAAAAUCCUGUUGCCGAGAAUGAAAGCACUGUUAAAACCAUUGAGCACAGAAACAAAACGGUACAAACACCUGCUGGUGAUAAACAUGGGACAGAUAUUGAAGCCAGUAAAGAGCAGGAAAAUAAAAUUUUGGAUAAGAUGGUUGAAAAGAAGAGAAAUGAUUUGGAAACUAAAGAACAGGAAAACGAAAUCUUGCUAACAAUCCCUGUUGCUAAGAACGAAACAUUUCUGGAAACUAAAGAACAAGAAAACAAAACUGUGGAGAAAGCAGUUAUUGAUGAUAAGAACGAAACCAUCGUCGAAACUAAACAGCAAGAAAACAAAACUGUGGAAAAGACCGAUGAUAGAAAUGGAACCAUUGUUGAAACUAAACAGCAAGAAAACAAAACUGUGGAAAAGACCGAUGAUAGAAAUGGAACCAUUAUUGAAACUAAACAGCAAGACAACAAAACUGUGGAAAAGACCGAUGAUAGAAAUGGAACCAUUAUUGAAACUAAACAGCAAGACAACAAAACUGUGGAAAAGACCGAUGAUAGAAAUGGAACCAUUAUUGAAACUAAACACCUAGACAACAAAACUGUGGAAAAGACCGAUGAUAGAAAUGGAACCAUUAUUGAAACUAAACAGCAAGACAACAAAACUGUGGAAAAGACCGAUGAUAGAAAUGGAACCAUUAUUGAAACUAAACAGCAAGACAACAAAACUGUGGAAAAGACCGAUGAUAGAAAUGGAACCAUUAUUGAAACUAAACAGCAAGACAACAAAACUGUGGAAAAGACCGAUGAUAGAAAUGGAACCAUUAUUGAAACUAAACACCAAGACAACAAAACUGUGGAGAAUAAAGUUGAAGAUAGGAACGGAACUAAUGUUGAAACGAAACACCAAGAGAAUAAAACUGAGGAGAAAAAAGUUGAUGAUAAGAACGGAACCAUUGUUACAGCUAAUCAGCAAGACAACAAAACUGUGGAAAAAGUUAUUGAUGACAAAAACAUAACCAUUGUAGAAGCGAAACAGCAAGACAACAGAACUGUGGAAAAUCCCACUGGUAAUAAGAUCGGAACCAUUGUCCAAACGAAACAAGAGGAGAAUAAAACUGUGGAAAAUGAAGUUGAUCAGAACGGAACCAUUGUGGAAAUGAAACAGCAAGACAACAGAACUGUAGAAAAAGCAGUUAUUGAUGACAAAAACGUAACCAUUGUGGAAACGAAACAAGAGGAGAAUAAAACUGUGGAAAAUCCCACUGGUAAUAAGAUCGGAACCAUUGUCCAAACGAAACAUGAAGAGAAUAAAACUGUGGAAAAUUCCACUGGUGAUAAGAGCGGAGGAGAUAUUGAGAUUAGCAAAGAGGAAGAGAACAAGCCCUUGCUGCAAGGGGUGCACGAUAAGAUCGAAACGGAUGAAACAAUUAGUAAAGAGAUAGAAAACAAAACAUUUGAAAAAGCCGUUGCCAAAAACAACGAAACAUUUGAGGGAACUAAUGAGCAGGAAAACAAAAUGAUAUUUUCAAGGAACGAAACAGAUGCGGAAACUAAAGAACCACAUGAGGAAAUUGCGUUGCCACUAAUCCCAGGUGCUAAGAACGAAACAUUUGAGGGAACUAAUGAGCAGGAAAACAAAAUGAUAUUUUCAAGGAACGAAACAGAUGCGGAAACUAAAGAACCACGUGAGGAAAUUGCGUUGCCACUAAUCCCAGGUGCUAAAACGAAACAUUUGAGGGAACUAAUGAGCAGGAAAACAAAAUGAUAUUUUCAAGGAACGAAACAGAUGCGGAAACUAAAGAACCACGUGAGGAAAUUGCGUUGCCACUAAUCCCAGGUGCUAAAAACGAAACAUUUGAGGGAACUAAUGAGCAGGAAAACAAAAUGAUAUUUUCAAGGAACGAAACAGAUGCGGAAACUAAAGAACCACAUGAGGAAAUUGCGUUGCCACUAAUCCCAGGUGCUAAAAACGAAACAUUUGAAGGAACUAAUGAGCAGGAAAACAAAAUGAUAUUUUCAAGGAACGAAACAGAUGCGGAAACUAAAGAACCACAUGAGGAAAUUGCGUUGCCACUAAUCCCAGGUGCUAAGAACGAAACUAAAGAGCAAGAAAACAAAACGGUAUUUUCGAGGAACGAAACGGUUGGCGAAACUAUAGAACCACACGAGGAAAUUUUACCACGAGCGAACAUAACUCACGAGAGCGAAACAGAAACUGAAGGAAACGAAAGCGAAAUUGUACAGAACAAAUCGAUGAAUCUAGAGACCACGAUAGCGGAAAUUGAAACGACCACGAUAGCGAUUGAGGAAAAAACGGAAAGUAUUCAGAAAUUAAAUGAAGAUCUCAGUAAACAAACAAUACUUCUGCAGAACCGAACAGAAGAUCUUGAGAAAAAAAUCAAAUGAAAUGAAAAACAAAAUACUAGAAGUGGAAAACAAAACGAUGCGAUUAGAAAAGGAAUCAGAUGCGAUGUUAAUGGAGAGUGUCAUAAUAGGACGAACGAUGCUGCGUGUGGAGACAGAAACCAAUGACAUUGAAAACAAAGCUGUGGGUUUGAAGGAGACGACCGAGAAUCUCCAGAACAAGACAGGAGACCUGCAGGAAGGAACUCAGAGUCUGCAGGCUCAGAUUGAAGCUCUACAGAACAAGAUGAUGCACUUAGAGAACAUGAUGGAAAAAAUCUUGAACAUGACAGUAGAAAUUGAAGACCAUACAUUAGGUCUGGAAAAAGAAACACUGGAUUUGGAGAAUAAGACAGUCGAAUUGGAAGACAAGGUGACUGGUAUUUAUAAUUGGACUCAACAGAUGCAGAAGCGAACGUCGCAACUGGAGAACAAGACUACUGGACUGCGGAGCAAGACAGUAGGCUUGCAAAACAAGGCAUCAGUCCUGAAAAAGAAAGCUUUUCCUGCAGAUGAUGAUGUGUUGUCUGCGAGGAAAAACAGUAGGCGUGUAAGACAACAACGCCGCCGGAAAACAAAACAACCCUACUACAACUGUGGAAAGACAAACUGCUGCAGUACAAUGUACAACUCAAGAAAGUACGAACUGUAACCGAAAGGGCAAUCCACAGUGGCGCUGCUGAGGCAGACAGAUGACAGAGAGGCCGAGGAGAUCUGAACGAAGGCUCCUCGUCCCUGUCAUGGAAAGGAAGGAUCUUUUCUUUACCUUACCUUUCCGAACUGAGUGACUUUUUCUCUAUGACUUUCUAAUAA